GAUGAACGCUGGCGGCGUGCCUAAUACAUGCAAGUCGAGCGAACAGACGAGGAGCUUGCUCCUCUGACGUUAGCGGCGGACGGGUGAGUAACACGUGUAUAACCUACCUAUAAGACUGGGAUAACUUCGGGAAACCGGAGCUAAUACCGGAUAAUAUAUUGAACCGCAUGGUUCAAUAGUGAAAGACGGUUUUGCUGUCACUUAUAGAUGGAUCCGCGCCGCAUUAGCUAGUUGGUAAGGUAACGGCUUACCAAGGCGACGAUGCGUAGCCGACCUGAGAGGGUGAUCGGCCACACUGGAACUGAGACACGGUCCAGACUCCUACGGGAGGCAGCAGUAGGGAAUCGUCCGCAAUGGGCGAAAGCCUGACGGAGCAACGCCGAGUGAGUGAUGAAGGUCUUCGGAUCGUAAAACUCUGUUAUUAGGGAAGAACAAAUGUGUAAGUAACUAUGCACGUCUUGACGGUACCUAAUCAGAAAGCAACGGCUAACUACGUG
rnacentral:rRNA from 1 species